rnacentral:rRNA from 1 species
CCUACGGGCGGCAGCAGUGGGGAUUAUUGCACAAUGGGGGAAACCCUGAUGCAGCGACGCCGCGUGAGUGAAGAAGUAAUUCGGUAUGUAAAGCUCUAUCAGCAGGGAAGAAAAUGACGGUACCUGAGUAAGAAGCCCCGGCUAACUACGUGCCAGCAGCCGCGGUAAUACGUAGGGGGCAAGCGUUAUCCGGAUUUACUGGGUGUAAAGGGAGCGUAGACGGCAGUGCAAGUCUGGAGUGAAAGGCGGGGGCUCAACCCCGGGACUGCUCUGGAAACUGUACGGCUGGAGUGCAGGAGAGGAAAGUGGAAUUCCUGGUGUAGCGGUGAAAUGCGUAGAUAUUAGGAGGAACACCAGUGGCGAAGGCGGGUGACUGGACUGUAACUGACGUUGAGGCUCGAAAGCGUGGGGAGCAAACAGGAUUAGAUACCCUUGUAGUC